GACGAACGCUGGCGGCGUGCUUAACACAUGCAAGUCGAACGGAAAGGCCCUGCUUUUGUGGGGUGCUCGAGUGGCGAACGGGUGAGUAACACGUGAGUAACCUGCCCUUGACUUUGGGAUAACUUCAGGAAACUGGGGCUAUUACCGGAUAGGAGCUCCUGCUGCAUGGUGGGGGUUGGAAAGUUUCGGUGGUUGGGGAUGGACUCGCGGCUUAUCAGCUUGUUGGUGGGGUAGUGGCUUACCAAGGCUUUGACGGGUAGCCGGCCUGAGAGGGUGACCAGGGGCAUUGGGACUGAGAUACGGCCCAGUCUCCUACGGGAGGCAGAGGUGGGGAAUAUUGCAGAAUGGGCGGGAGCGUGAUGCAGCAACGCCGCGUGCGGGAUGACGUCCUUCGGGUUGUGAACCGCUUUCGCCUGUGACGAAGCGAGAGUGACGGUAAUUGGUAAAGAAGCACCGGCUAACUACGUG
rnacentral:rRNA from 1 species